rnacentral:rRNA from 1 species
UACGAAGGGGGCUAGCGUUGCUCGGAAUCACUGGGCGUAAAGCGCACGUAGGCGGACUCUUAAGUCGGUGGUGAAAUCCUGGAGCUCAACUCCAGAACUGCCUUCGAUACUGGGAGUCUUGAGUCCGGGAGAGGUGAGUGGAACUGCGAGUGUAGAGGUGGAAUUCGUAGAUAUUCGCAAGAACACCAGUGGCGAAGGCGGCUCACUGGCCCGGUACUGACGCUGAGGUGCGAAAGCGUGGGGAGCAAACAGG